rnacentral:misc_RNA from 1 species
GAUGAAGAACGUAGUGAAAUGCGAUAAGUAAUGUGAAUUGCAGAAUUCAGUGAAUCAUCGAAUCUUUGAACGCACAUUGCGCCCCUUGGUAUUCCGAGGGGCAUGCCUGUUCGAGCGUCAUUAUAACCCCUCAAGCUCAGCUUGGUGUUGGGGCCUGCUGCUCUGGCAGCCCUUAAAAUCAGUGGCGGCGCCAUCUGGCUCUAAGCGUAGUAAUUCUUCUCGCUAUGGAGUCCUGGUGGAUGCUUGCCAUCAACCCCCAAUUUUUCUAUGGUUGACCUCGGAUCAGGUAGGGAUACCCGCUGAACUUAAGCAUAUCAAUAAGCGGAGGA